AUUGAACGCUGGCGGCAUGCUUUACACAUGCAAGUCGAACGGUAACAGGGUGCUUGCACCGCUGACGAGUGGCGAACGGGUGAGUAAUGCGUCGGAACGUGCCGAGUAGUGGGGGAUAACGCAUCGAAAGGUGUGCUAAUACCGCAUACGUACUGAGGUAGAAAGUGGGGGACCUUCGGGCCUCACGCUAUUCGAGCGGCCGACGUCUGAUUAGCUAGUUGGUGAGGUAAAGGCUCACCAAGGCGACGAUCAGUAGCGGGUCUGAGAGGAUGAUCCGCCACACUGGGACUGAGACACGGCCCAGACUCCUACGGGAGGCAGCGGUGGGGAAUUUUGGACAAUGGGCGCAAGCCUGAUCCAGCCAUGCCGCGUGUCUGAAGAAGGCCUUCGGGUUGUAAAGGACUUUUGUCCGGGAGCAAAUACCCAGUGCUAAUAACGCUGGGGGCUGAGAGUACCGGAAGAAUAAGCACCGGCUAACUACGUGCCAGCAGCCGCCGUAA
rnacentral:rRNA from 1 species